rnacentral:tRNA from 1 species
GGUAAGAUGGCUGAGUGUUAAGCGGUGGAUUGUAGCCCCACGAACAGAGGCUCAAAUCCUCUUCUUAUCA